UAAUCGCCGGCUCCACUGAGGGUUCGAUACCGUCCUGCCGGCUGCUCUCGCGCUGCUCCAACUGCCAGAGCGCGAGAACGGGCAGGCCCGGGCGGGCGACGGCACCAACCAAAAGGGCGGGCGUUACCACUUCAAUAAGGGAUGUGCACUUGAAUACAGCUCCUUAAAGAAAAUAUUUUGCCGGAGGGGAACAAAACGCGAGAUGAUUUCCCCCGGCGAGGGUGGCAGAGGCUGAAAAAUGGUUUCUUCCACUGCCGUGGAUCCUGCCAAGGACUGUUUCUCCGGAGCUAGAAGGAGAGAACUAUCGUCACUGCUCUCGCCUCCCAGACCCCUCCUACCAAGCUUAUUUGCAUUGACGCAGCCGCCCGCCGCAGGAGGGGCAAGGACGCAAGCGCCGCUGGGCGUGGGAAAAAUGAAGCCGGUUGGGAGGAGAGAGACGUGGAGGUCUCCAGGAAUUCUUCAGUGACUCUAAUUCAAAUGGACAAUACCAGGAAUCUACCGUUGGUAGACUCACUGCAAGCCCUUCUGGGGAAAUGUGUAAACCAGUUUGACCAAGUGCAGGAGCUCUGCUGGGAAACUCAGAUCUUGGUGAAGGAACUCUUGAACAAAGGAACCUUGAAAUGGAAAAAAUAAUGUGUCUCCUCAGUUCACAGGCAAUGAUUGGAGGGCCAGACCAUCAAAGGGGCAGAAGCUGUAGGGGUAAAGCCUGUCUUGUUCAACCCCAGUGCUGGGACUGCCUGGGUAAUGUGGAGCCUACUUAAACUGGCGUGGAAAGGCUAAGUUAAGGUAGGAGAGUAUGCAUGUAGGUCUUUUGUUGUUUUAACCCUUUUCCUCUCUGUUUAUGUUCCUGUGGAUAAAUAAAUAAUACUUUGUUUGAA